rnacentral:rRNA from 1 species
ACGCUGGCGGCGUGCUUAACACAUGCAAGUCGAACGCUGAAGGCCUGGCUUUUGUUGGGUUGGAUGAGUGGCGAACGGGUGAGUAACACGUGAGUAACCUGCCCUCUUCUUUGGGAUAACGCCCGGAAACGGGUGCUAAUACUGGAUAUUCACUGAUCUUCGCAUGGGGGUUGGUGGAAAGGUUUGUUCUGGUGGGGGAUGGGCUCGCGGCCUAUCAGCUUGUUGGUGGGGUGAUGGCCUACCAAGGCUUUGACGGGUAGCCGGCCUGAGAGGGUGACCGGUCACAUUGGGACUGAGGUACGGCCCAGACUCCUACGGGAGGCAGCAGUGGGGAAUAUUGCACAAUGGGCGAAAGCCUGAUGCAGCGACGCCGCGUGAGGGAUGGAGGCCUUCGGGUUGUAAACCUCUUUCGCUCAUGGUCAAGCCGCAACUGUGGGUUGUGGUGAGGGUAGUGGGUAAAGAAGCGCCGGCUAACUACGUGCCAGCAGCCGCGGUAAUACGUAGGGCGCGAGCGUUGUCCGGAAUUAUUGGGCGUAAAGGGCUUGUAGGCGGUUGGUCGCGUCUGCCGUGAAACUCUCUGGCUUAACUGGGGGCGUGCGGUGGGUACGGGCUGACUUGAGUGCGGUAGGGGAGACUGGAACUCCUGGUGUAGCGGUGGAAUGCGCAGAUAUCAGGAAGAACACCGGUGGCGAAGGCGGGUCUCUGGGCCGUUACUGACGCUGAGGAGCGAAAGCGUGGGGAGCGAACAGGAUUAGAUACCCUGGUAGUCCACGCUGUAAACGUUGGGCACUGGGUGUGGGGGCCACCCGUGGUUUCUGCGCCGUAGCUAACGCUUUAAGUGCCCCGCCUGGGGAGUACGGCCGCAAGGCUAAAACUCAAAGGAAUUGACGGGGGCCCGCA